rnacentral:rRNA from 1 species
AGCGAACGCUGGCGGCAGGCUUAACACAUGCAAGUCGAACGGUCCUUCGGGAUAGUGGCGGACGGGUGAGUAACACGUGGGAACGUACCCUUAGGUUCGGAACAACACAGGGAAACUUGUGCUAAUACCGGGUAAGCCCUUCGGGGGAAAGAUUUAUCGCCUUUGGAGCGGCCCGCGGAUGAUUAGCUUGUUGGUGAGGUAAUGGCUCACCAAGGCUACGAUCAGUAGCUGGUCUGAGAGGAUGGCCAGCCACACUGGGACUGAGCCACGGCCCAGACUCCUACGGGAGGCAGCAGUGGGGAAUCUUGCGCAAUGGGCGAAAGCCUGACGCAGCCAUGCCGCGUGGAUGAUGAAGGUCUUAGGAUUGUGAAAUCCUUUCACCGGGGACGAUAAUGACGGUACCCGGAGAAGAAGCCCCGGCUAACUUCGUGCCAGCCGCCGCCGUAA